CAGCCGCGUAAUUCCAGCUCCAAUAGCGUAUAUUAAAGUUGUUGCAGUUAAAAAGCUCGUAGUUGAAUUUCGAGAUCAAAUUGUUGGUCGUGCCUCGGUACGUACUGGCAUUAUUGAUUUCUCCCUUCUGAAGAACCUUGAUGUCAUUAAUUUGGUGUCUGGGGGAAUCAGGACCGUUACUUUGAAAAAAUUAGAGUGUUUAAAGCAGGCUCACGCUUGAAUACAUUAGCAUGGAAUAAUGAAAUAGGACGUUUGAUUCUAUUUUGUUGGUUUCUAGGAUCGACGUAAUGAUUAAUAGGGAUAGUUGGGGGCAUUAGUAUUCAAUUGUCAGAGGUGAAAUUCUUGGAUUUAUUGAAGACUAACUACUGCGAAAGCAUUUGCCAAGGAUGUUUUCAUUAAUCAAGAACGAAAGUUAGGGGAUCGAAGACGAUCAGAUACCGUCGUAGUCUUAACCAUAAACUAUGCCGACUAGGGAUCGGAUGAUGUUAAUUUUUUAAUGACUCAUUCGGCGCCUUACG
rnacentral:misc_RNA from 1 species